GGAGAUGGGAAAGGACAAAGUGGCAGAACACCUGCUUUGCAAGCAGAAGGUCCCAGGUUCAAUCCCUGAGGGCAUCUCCG